UUUAUGGAGAGUUUGAUCCUGGCUCAGGAUGAACGCUGGCGGCGUGCCUAAUACAUGCAAGUCGAGCGAACGGACGAGAAGCUUGCUUCUCUGAUGUUAGCGGCGGACGGAUGAGUAACACGUGGAUAACCUACCUAUAAGACUGGGAUAACUUCGGGAAACCGGAGCUAAUACCGGAUAAUAUUUUGAACCGCAUGGUUCAAAAGU
rnacentral:rRNA from 1 species